GACGAAGGGGGCUAGCGUUGUUCGGAAUUACUGGCGUAAAGCGCGUGUAGGCGGUUGUUCAAGUCAGGUGUGAAAGCCUUGAGCUCAACUCAAGAAAUGCACUUGAUACUGGAUGACUAGAGGACCGGAGAGGAUAGUGGAAUUCCCAGUGUAGUGGUGAAAUACGUAGAGAUUGGGAAGAACACCAGUGGCGAAGGCGGCUAUCUGGACGGUUUCGUGACGCUAAGACGCGAAAGCGUGGGGAGCAACAGG
rnacentral:rRNA from 1 species